CAGUAGCCGCGGGAAUACGAAGGGGGCUAGCGUUGCUCGGAAUCACUGGGCGUAAAGGGUGCGUAGGCGGGUUUUUAAGUCAGAGGUGAAAUCCUGGAGCUCAACUCCAGAACUGCCUUUGAUACUGAAAGUCUUGAGUAUGGGAGAGGUGAGUGGAACUGCGAGUGUAGAGGUGAAAUUCGUAGAUAUUCGGAAGAACACCAGUGGCGAAGGCGGCUCACUGGACCGUUGUUGACGCUGAGGUGCGAAAGCGUGGAGAGCAAACAGGAUUAGAGACCCGAGUAGUCCCUGUCUCUUAUAC
rnacentral:rRNA from 1 species